GACGAACGCUGGCGGCGUGCUUAACACAUGCAAGUCGAACGGAAAGGCCCUGCUUGCAGGGUACUCGAGUGGCGAACGGGUGAGUAACACGUGGGUGAUCUGCCCUGCACUUCGGGAUAAGCCUGGGAAACUGGGUCUAAUACCGGAUAGGAGCCAUUUUUAGUGUGAUGGUUGGAAAGUUUUUUUCGGUGUAGGAUGAGCUCGCGGCCUAUCAGCUUGUUGGUGGGGUAAUGGCCUACCAAGGCGGCGACGGGUAGCCGGCCUGAGAGGGUGGACGGCCACAGUGGGACUGAGAUACGGCCCAGACUCCUACGGGAGGCAGCAGUGGGGAAUAUUGCACAAUGGGCGCAAGCCUGAUGCAGCGACGCCGCGUGGGGGAUGACGGCCUUCGGGUUGUAAACUCCUUUCGCUAGGGACGAAGCUUUUUGUGACGGUACCUAGAUAAGAAGCACCGGCUAACUACGUG
rnacentral:rRNA from 1 species